rnacentral:rRNA from 1 species
UGCGGAGCUUAUUCUGUCGGUACGUCAAGACUGAUACGUAUUAAGCAUCAGCCCUUCCUCCCAACUNAAAGUGCUUUACAAUCCGAAGACCUUCUUCACACACGCGGCAUGGCUGGAUCAGGGUUUCCCCCAUUGUGCAAUAUUCCCCACUGCUGCCUCCC